AACGAACGCUGGCGGCAUGCCUAACACAUGCAAGUCGAACGAGACCUUCGAGUCUAGUGGCGCACGGGUGCGUAACGCGUGGGAACCUGCCCUUAGGUUCGGAAUAACUCCCCGAAAGGGGUGCUAAUACCGGAUAAUGUCUUCGGACCAAAGAUUUAUCGCCUUUGGAUGGGCCCGCGUUGGAUUAGCUAGUUGGUAGGGUAAAAGCCUACCAAGGCGACGAUCCAUAGCUGGUCUGAGAGGAUGAUCAGCCACACUGGGACUGAGACACGGCCCAGACUCCUACGGGAGGCAGCAGUGGGGAAUAUUGGACAAUGGGCGAAAGCCUGAUCCAGCAAUGCCGCGUGAGUGAUGAAGGCCUUAGGGUUGUAAAGCUCUUUUACCCGGGAUGAUAAUGACAGUACCGGGAGAAUAAGCUCCGGCUAACUCCGU
rnacentral:rRNA from 1 species